rfam:Felis catus isolate Cinnamon breed Abyssinian chromosome B2, whole genome shotgun sequence.
ACAAAGGCCCUUUUCAGGGCCGCCCACAAAGUCACUUAAAGGGCUG